GUACUUCUGAAGAGUUCCAUACUAGGACGAAACAGCUGUCUAGUAC
rfam:Trichobilharzia regenti genome assembly, scaffold: TRE_scaffold0024274